GGCGGCGUGCUUAACACAUGCAAGUCGAGCGGUAAGGCCCUUCGGGGUACACGAGCGGCGAACGGGUGAGUAACACGUGGGUAAUCUGCCCUGCACUCUGGGAUAAGCCUGGGAAACUGGGUCUAAUACCGGAUAUGACAACCUUGGGCAUCCAGGGUUGUGGAAAGUUCCGGCGGUGCAGGAUGGGCCCGCGGCCUAUCAGCUUGUUGGUGGGGUAAUGGCCUACCAAGGCGACGACGGGUAGCCGGCCUGAGAGGGCGACCGGCCACACUGGGACUGAGACACGGCCCAGACUCCUACGGGAGGCAGCAGUGGGGAAUAUUGCGCAAUGGGCGAAAGCCUGACGCAGCGACGCCGCGUGAGGGAUGACGGCCUUCGGGUUGUAAACCUCUUUCAGUGCCGACGAAGCGAAAGUGACGGUAGGUACAGAAGAAGCACCGGCCAACUACGUGCCAGCAGCCGCGGUAAUACGUAGGGUGCGAGCGUUGUCCGGAAUUAUUGGGCGUAAAGAGCUCGUAGGCGGUUUGUUGCGUCGGCGGUGAAAACUUCACGCUUAACGUGGAGCCUGCGGUCGAUACGGGCAGACUUGAGUUCGGCAGGGGAGACUGGAAUUCCUGGUGUAGCGGUGAAAUGCGCAGAUAUCAGGAGGAACACCGGUGGCGAAGGCGGGUCUCUGGGCCGAUACUGACGCUGAGGAGCGAAAGCGUGGGGAGCGAACAGGAUUAGAUACCCUGGUAGUCCACGCCGUAAACGGUGGGUGCUAGGUGUGGGGGGCUUCCACGUCCUCCGUGCCGCAGCUAACGCAUUAAGCACCCCGCCUGGGGAGUACGGCCGC
rnacentral:rRNA from 1 species